UCGUAGAAUAGCUUAAUGAAAGCACUAAACUUUUAAUUUAGGGAUGAGGUAGACUCUAUACGAA
rnacentral:tRNA from 1 species